AGAGUUUGAUCAUGGCUCAGAUUGAACGCUGGCGGAAUGCUUUACACAUGCAAGUCGAACGGCAGCACGGGGGCAACCCUGGUGGCGAGUGGCGAACGGGUGAGUAAUACAUCGGAACGUGCCCAGUCGUGGGGGAUAACUACGCGAAAGCGUAGCUAAUACCGCAUACGAUCUACGGAUGAAAGCGGGGGAUCGCAAGACCUCGCGCGAUUGGAGCGGCCGAUGGCAGAUUAGGUAGUUGGUGGGGUAAAGGCUCACCAAGCCUGCGAUCUGUAGCUGGUCUGAGAGGACGACCAGCCACACUGGGACUGAGACACGGCCCAGACUCCUACGGGAGGCAGCAGUGGGGAAUUUUGGACAAUGGGCGCAAGCCUGAUCCAGCCAUUCCGCGUGCAGGAUGAAGGCCUUCGGGUUGUAAACUGCUUUUGUACGGAACGAAAAGGCUCUCUCUAAUACAGGGGGCUCAUGACGGUACCGUAAGAAUAAGCACCGGCUAACUACGUGCCAGCAGCCGCGGUAAUACGUAGGGUGCAAGCGUUAAUCGGAAUUACUGGGCGUAAAGCGUGCGCAGGCGGUGAUGUAAGACAGUUGUGAAAUCCCCGGGCUCAACCUGGGAACUGCAUCUGUGACUGCAUCGCUGGAGUGCGGCAGAGGGGGAUGGAAUUCCGCGUGUAGCAGUGAAAUGCGUAGAUAUGCGGAGGAACACCGAUGGCGAAGGCAAUCCCCUGGGCCUGCACUGACGCUCAUGCACGAAAGCGUGGGGAGCAAACAGGAUUAGAUACC
rnacentral:rRNA from 1 species